rnacentral:rRNA from 1 species
UACGUAGGUGGCGAGCGUUGUCCGGAAUUACUGGGUGUAAAGCGCGUGUAGGCGGGAGGCCAAGUCUGCGGUGAAAUCGCUCGGCUCAACUGGGCGGGGUCCGUGGAAACUGGUCACCUGGAGGACGGUAGAGGCGAGUGGAAUUCCCGGUGUAGUGGUGAAAUGCGUAGAGAUCGGGAGGAACACCAGUGGCGAAGGCGGCUUCCUGGCCUGUUCUUGACGCUGAGGCGCGAAAGCUAGGGUAGCAAACGGG